rfam:Lactobacillus oris PB013-T2-3 contig00048, whole genome shotgun sequence.
UCCACCGUGAGGUGGAAUCUGAAGGAAGUCUAAGGCAAAGUACUGCACCGAUGAACAAGAAGUAGCUAUAAGGCUGGGAGUAACUGGAUAAGGUUGCUGCACAAACUAAAGUCCAAUAUUACUCGAAGUUGCUUUCAGUAAAGCUAACGGUGACAUGGUACGAAAGUUAAUAUUC